rnacentral:rRNA from 1 species
AGAGUUUGAUCCUGGCUCAGAAUGAACGCUGGCGGCGUGUUUAAGACAUGCAAGUCGCACGGAGGAAUGUGAGUAGCAAUACAAGCAUUCUUCAGUGGCGCACGGGUGCGUAACACGUGAGUUACAUGCCCUGCAGAGGGGGAUAGCCCAGGGAAACUUGGAUUAAUACCCCAUGGUCUCGCAAGAGUAAAGGUGGCGUAAGCUGCCGCUGCAGGAUUGGCUCGCGGCCUAUCAGCUAGUUGGUGAGGUAACGGCUCACCAAGGCUACGACGGGUACCUGGUCUGAGAGGACGAUCAGGCACACUGGAACUGAGACACGGUCCAGACACCUACGGGUGGCAGCAGUCGAGAAUCAUUCACAAUGGGGGCAACCCUGAUGGUGCAACGCCGCGUGGAGGAUGAAGGUCUUCGGAUUGUAAACUCCUGUCAUCUAGGAGCAAGGCAUGGUGGUGAAUAGCCGACAUGAUUGAUAGUACUAGAAGAGGAAGGGACGGCUAACUUCGUGCCAGCAGCCGCGGUAAUACGAAGGUCCCGAGCGUUAUUCGGAAUCACUGGGCGUAAAGGGAGCGUAGGCGGCGUGGAAAGUCAGAUGUGAAAUCCCGGGGCUCAACCCCGGAACUGCAUCCGAUACUACCAUGCUAGAGUAUUGGAGGGGUAACUGGAAUUCUCGGUGUAGCAGUGAAAUGCGUGGAUAUCGAGAGGAACACCUGUGGCGAAAGCGAGUUACUGGACAAUUACUGACGCUGAGGCUCGAAGGCUAGGGGAGCAAAAGGGAUUAGAUACCCCUGUAGUCCUAGCAG